rnacentral:misc_RNA from 1 species
AGAUUAAAGCUGGUGAUGAUGUGGUAAGUAGCAAUACUAUCGUCAUUGAAUCUUUAAAUGCUGAUUGUACAGUACAGAAUCAUUAUUUUGGAUUUAAUGGUAGUCCAAUAAUGUUUGUGAGAUAUGCAUUGUGGUAAUCUUGUCCUUCCCAAAGGAAGCAGUAACUUGUCUGCCAGGUCUUUAAUGUUUAUCUUUUCAGCUGCUUGUUUUCCUUUACAUGUGCCUUUAUUUUUAUUUAUCCUUUUGCAAUCGCC